GGUUAACAAAAGAUUAGUCAGUUGUGAAGUAUUAAAAAACAGGCUGUGAUUCUUUCAAAACUGUAAGUAUUUUAUAAUUCUAUUAUUUUAUAUUAAUAUUAAAUUAAAGUUUUAUAUACAGAGUAUGAUGUAGAUAUCUAUCUAUCUAUCUGUCUAAUGUAUUACUUGUACGUUACCGGUAAAGUAGAAGGUCUGCGCAUUGUAUUAUACCCAGAUUCAAGUGGGUAAAGUAGAUUAAAUACAGUGUACAUAUUUUAUUUAUUUGAUAUUACAACUUUUGAAAUUAGUUUUUCUUUCACCUUCAUUCCAACUAUUUUGGGUCGGCUACCCUGGUCUUAAACUUCUACUAGACCCAAUCUCUCAUCAUGUAUAUACCUAACAUAACUGAUUGUUUUCAUAUCAUAUAAUUUUCAAUUGUAUCUCAAUUUAAUUAUUUUCUAAUAAUUUUUAAAGCUUAAGAAUUUAAGAGAAGCAAGAAAUGUACUGUUUUUAUAAUGAUGUUUUUUUUUUCUUAUUUUUUUUUUAUCUGUAAAUAACUCUUCUGACAAAUCUUGCUCUGAUUAUCAAGUGUUGUUUAAUUUCUGAAAGGAAAUUUUAUCUGGGUAAUAUUUUAGGGAAGUCGUAUUUGAUUUUCUAAGCAUAAUAAUUAAGAAAAAAAAUGUGAAAAUUUACGAAAUGUGUUAUUUUUAAUUUUGUUGUGAUUCAGUUAAAAAUAAUCGUAAAGAUUUGGAAUUUGAGCAGAAAACUUGUGAUUGUCAUUUCUAUAGUUGGGACAAUUUUAAAAACAUUUUAGACAUUUUAAUUUUGAGAGUUUUAUGUUAUUUUUAUUCAGUAGAUUUGGUAUUUUAUCUAUGAAAAAUAUUAUUAGACCAAACAGAAAUGCUUGAAAAUUUAACAGGAGAUUCAUUAUAAGUCGUACUUUAUGGACAAAAAAAUCAGGUAUAAAGGGGUAAACCACGGGUGACCGGUACUAAAAAUCUCAAUGAUAAAUUUAUGCUGUAAAUUUACGUGUACAUUAUUUUUUAUCAAACAUUUUUGUAAUUUAUUAGAAAAGUUUGUAACUCAGUGCCAUAAUUGGUGGUCCUUGUAAAAAUAAUAAAUAAACUUGCUAUAAUUUAAUAAUAUUAAUAUUAUUUUUAUCAAAACAUCUUUGUGUAAUAAUAUACAUAUUUCAAUAGAAGAUAUCUAACAACGUUUCAAUGGAUAAUAAAUUUAAAAGUUCAAUUUAUUUUGUUUAUUAAAAUAUGUAUCUAGUAUGGUGUUUUGUUUAAUUUUAAAUAUUUUCUAUACAUAUUAUUACUCUGCAACUUGUCAUUGUAUAUCAGUGUUUCUCAAUCCAGGGGUUGCAUUAGUCAGAAAUAAUUAAACACUGAUGUGGGAAAACAACCUUAUAUUUUUAUAAAGUAUUAAUUAAUUGCGAUUGUUUUAUAUAGAAAUGUUUGUUUAUUCAUGGUUUGACUUUGGAAACACAAAAAAUAUAUACUAUAUAUUUAGCAGUUACUUAUAACAGUACUUAAUUAUUGACACUUUAUAGCAACUUAUUAUGCUGUAAUUAUUAAUUUCAGAAAUUUUUUUCAAUCCCAUCUAAAAUAUAUGAUGCAAAAUCUAAAGUUGAAGAAGAUUAUUAAUACUUUUGCUGGUGGAUGACAUUCAGCUGCAAUAACUAAGUAUAAUGAUCUCUACAUAUGGGGUUGGAAUUAUUCUGGAUAACUAGGGAUUUCAAACUCUCCAGGUAAAAUAUCUUAUGAAUUAAUCUUUUGUUAAAAAUUAUUUAACAAUUAAAGAAUCUUAAUUUCAAUCUGCAUGAAAAUAAUUGAUAAAUAAACUUGUUGUGGUAUUCAUUCAAUGUAUUAAACAUUCUAAUCAGACUAUUUUUAGAUUAUUUUAUUUUACCGUAAGAAACUGUUACUAAUAAAAUGAUAAAUAAUUUAAUUUUAUAUGUUUUAUUGGUUUACGGCACUAGUUAAUGUACUGGAAAAUACGUUGAAACAGGUGAAAUAUAAUGUUGUGUGUUUUAACAUAUUUUUGAAAAAUAAAAAUAAAUUGUUCUAUUUAUAACAUUUUUACAGAUAAAAAAAUAUAAUAAUAACGCUGGAACCAGUAUUGAAUAAUUGGCCAGAAGAAACAGAUAUUGAACAAGUGAGUUUAGAAGUUAGGCAUCCAAUGGUUCUAUCUAAGAAUAAUGUUCUUUGGGGUUGUGGGUGGAAUGCUCACAAACAGAGCUUGGGUUAGAUACAUACCAAAUAACUUGUGAUUGAAUGGUUAAUUUAAGUAAUUUAUCGCUGUUAUUUAAGUACAAUGUGAAAAAAAUCAUUCAAGUAAUAUGUGUUGCGUAGAAUAGUGUUUUACUACUAGAGAAC
rnacentral:lncRNA from 1 species